rnacentral:rRNA from 1 species
UACGAAGGGGGCUAGCGUUGCUCGGAAUCACUGGGCGUAAAGGGUGCGUAGGCGGGUCUUUAAGUCAGGGUGAAAUCCUGGAGCUCAACUCCAGAACUGCCUUUGAUACUGAGGAUCUUGAGUUCGGGAGAGGUGAGUGGAACUGCGAGUGUAGAGGUGAAAUUCGUAGAUAUUCGCAAGAACACCAGCGGCGAAGGCGGCUCACUGGCCCGAUACUGACGCUGAGGCACGAAAGCGUGGGGAGCAAACAGGG